rnacentral:lncRNA from 1 species
AAAGGAACGUAGAUUUCUUUGAAAAGAGGAAGUGGAGAUCAGAGUGACUUUGAGCCCCUGAGAUGUCGCUUGAUUUCCCACUCUAAAUCCCCAGCGAGCAGCAAGAAACUCAGUUUGUUGAGCAGAGCUGAAUGUGCAAUGAAAACGAGGGUCCUGUUGGUUGCAUGUUUGCAGUUCUCUGCCUGCAGGAGGGAAAAUAGUAUCUGUAUCAAUGACUGCCUGGACUAUGGUGCAGAGGUAAUCUAAUGCCUUGAUUGAUUAGCGAUGUCUGCAUUGGGCAGAACUGCAAGUGUCAAAUUUGUCAAUGUACUUUCCAAAUCAAGUUCUCUGACCCUAGCCUCUUUGAAAGAUUUAUACCCUUUGAUCAAAUCUCCAAGAACUCUUUCUCUUCUUUUAUAACUUGUUUCUCAGCCAUCACUGAUGUGAUAGAAGUACAGAAGUUACAUUAAUGGAUGCUUUCUUUUUGCAGUGAACAUCAUCAUGUUUUGUUUCUUCUGGCCUGAAACCCUGUUAAGUAUCAAGGAGCAGAUGUUCAAUGAUCAUUCUCAGAAGCUCCUGGCUUUCCUGGAGGCCAGAUGGAGACCAGGUGCUUUACCUUAAUGCGAGUGACAGCACAGUUCUGCUCAGUGAAUGCUCAGCGAGGAAUGACUGCCGGCUUGCGUCGCGUACACAACUGAUGGGCUUUGUAAGUUAUCCUUGCGCUGAAUUUGUUUCACGUUAAGUAUCAUUUUCCCAAUGACUUUCACCAUGACUUCGGAUUAAAUUUAUAUUGUUUUGUAUUACUGAGUAAUGAGCCUGAGCUUAUUUUUACUCUUUUUGAGUAAUUGAGCAAGCUGUCACCACCUUCCUUGAGAAAAUAUGCACUCAAGAGGAUCAGCGACACAGUAUUGCAUACAUGCAAGCACGCACCGAGCACAGAGCUCUUGGAGAGUUUCCUCACCUGCCAAAUGGCAGAUUCCUUCCACCUUUAUGCAUCUGUGAUAUUAUGAUUCUUGAGUAACGAUUCCUAAACUUUCUUGUACCUAAUUUACUUGGAGGUCCUGUUAUGCAGAUCCUGAUUAGUAGAUCUGGGUUAAGACCCAAGAUACUGCAUUUCUAAGAAGCUUCCAGGUGAUGACAGUGAUGUUGGUGCAUGAACCAAAGCUCUACUAAAUAACUUUAAUGCUCCUUCUCGCAUCGAGGAGCUGAUGGUUUCUUUAUGUAAGCAAAGAUAUAUACACUUAGGAGGGUUCGUAUUUAAAGAAACUUCAACGUACCUUUGAACAUUAUUGUAAAAAAAUCUAACCAUAAAGCAUUUGUCUACUUUUAUGUAUCAAGUUUACCACUGUGCACUUAUUAUUUUUGGCUAUUUUUUUUUUAAUUAAAAACUGACAAUUCCAAUUGCUGGAAAAGAUGUGGAGGAAUAAGAGCUCUCGUUCAGUGUUGAUGGUACAGCCAUUUUGGGAGAUAGUUUAGCAGUUUGUUAUGAUGCUAAACGUGAUCUUACUGUAUGACUCAGAAGUCGCCCUCCUAAGUAUUUGAUAAUUUGAAAACUCAUACACAUAUGCAAUGUGCAUGCAGUGUUUAUAGUAACUUUAUAAUGACUAGAAACUGGGGCGCCUGGGUGGCGCAGUCGGUUAAGCCUCUGACUUCAGCCAGGUCACGAUCUCGCGGUCCGUGUCGAGCCCCGCGUCAGGCUCUGGGCUGAUGGCUCAGAGCCUGGAGCCUGUUUCCGAUGCUGUGUCUCCCUCUCUCUCUGCCCCUCCCCCGUUCAUGCUCUGUUUCUCUCUGUCUCAAAAAUAAAUAAAAAACAUUGAAAAAAAAAAUUAGAAAC